UUACGACCAUAUCACGAGGAAACACCGGUUCCCGUACCAUUACCGAAGUUAAGUGACGUCGAGCCUGGUCAGUACCUAGAUAUGUGACCGCUCAGAAAC